rnacentral:tRNA from 1 species
ACCCCGUUUAUAGAGGCAUCAAUCCUCUCCUUUUUA